rnacentral:rRNA from 1 species
AUGGAUAUAACUGGAAAAAAAGAAGAUGAGUCCCAAGAAAACCCUUCUGACAAUUCAGUUCCAGAAGUAAGUUCUGAGCGCACCGAAGAUGAUGAUAUAUCUAAAUUGGGCAAGCAAGAUUCAGACUCUAAUACUUCUGAUUUAACUCCUAGACACAGCUUCAGAGAUUAUGAGAUAGUUCACAUAGACGAGGAACCUUCAUCUCCUAAAACAAUUGAUUGUAAGCACAUCUCUCAACUUGUUGAUCCAUUACCAGAUGGAGAAUGUUUUGAUUAUGCUGGUAGCAUAAAUCCUUCUAUGAAGAUGAGAAAACAGCGUUAUCAGAAGAAAGAGGAGAUCGCCGAAGGUAUAUCUGAGCUCGUAAAGAAGAAGCAAUACCCGGUGAAUAAGUUGAACGACCUGUACAAUACUCUUGUCGCUAAUAGCAAGUUCCGAGGUUUACGUAAGACACGACGACGCAAUGAUAAUGAAACAGGUGGUACCAAGAUAAGGAUAGGUCCAACUUCUGUAACAGAAAGAGAGUUAGUACAAUGUCUAAUGCCAAAAGGAAAGAUGUGCAAAAAUAUGAUGUGGUUACUGUCCGUGGCACUUAUGUAUGAUUGGGGAUCAAAGACCAAGCUUAUAUUGGAUCAGACUAUUAUAACCGAAUUGCUAAAAAAAGGAAAUAAAUGCAACCAUGCAUAUCUGUGCAAGAAGCUUAGUAAGUUGGCACUUGAAAAUGUUGAGCAUUGGGCAAUGGAUGUCUUCAGGAAGGAAAUAUGCUAUAUCCUUGUUUACCACCGCUUCAAUGAUCUCAAUCCAAGGAGGCCUGAGAUUAAGAAGAUAGCAUCCGCCGUGAAGACAACAACAGACUGA